GGGCCCGUGGCGGAACUGGCAGACGCAGCGGACUUAAAAUCCGCUGAGGGGCAACCCUCGUGUGGGUUCAAAUCCCACCGGGCCCA
rnacentral:tRNA from 1 species